rnacentral:rRNA from 1 species
CCUACGGGUGGCAGCAGUAGGGAAUAUUGCUCAAUGGGGGAAACCCUGAAGCAGCAACGCCGCGUGGAGGAUGAAGGUUUUCGGAUUGUAAACUCCUUUUGUUAGAGAAGAGAAUGACGGUAUCUAACGAAUAAGCACCGGCUAACUCCGUGCCAGCAGCCGCGGUAAUACGGAGGGCGCAAGCGUUACCCGGAAUCACUGGGCGUAAAGGGCGCGUAGGCGGGAUAGCAAGUCAGAUGUGAAAUCCUAGGGCUUAACCAUAGAACUGCAUUUGAAACUGUUAUUCUAGAGUGUGGGAGAGGUAGGUGGAAUUCUUGGUGUAGAGGUGAAAUCCGUAGAGAUCAGGAGGAAUACUCAUUGCGAAGGCGGCCUGCUAGAACGUAACUGACGCUGAUGCGCGAAAGCGUGGGGAGCAAACAGGAUUAGAUACCCUUGUAGUC